UGGCCGAACGGGUGAGUAACACGUGGGUGAUCUGCCUUGCACUUCGGGAUAAGCCUGGGAAACUGGGUCUAAUACCGGAUAGGACCAUGCUUUAGUGUGUGUGGUGGAAAGUUUUUUCGGUGCAAGAUGAGCCCGCGGCCUAUCAGCUUGUUGAUGGGGUAAUGGCCUACCAAGGCGACGACGGGUAGCCGGCCUGAGAGGGUGUACGGCCACAUUGGGACUGAGACACGGCCCAGACUCCUACGGGAGGCAGCAGUGGGGAAUAUUGCACAAUGGGCGCAAGCCUGAUGCAGCGACGCCGCGUGGGGGAUGACGGCCUUCGGGUUGUAAACUCCUUUCGCUAGGGAAGAAGCCACUUGUGGUGACGGUACCUGGAUAAGAAGCACCGGCUAACUACGUGCCAGCAGCCGCGGUAAUACGUAGGGUGCGAGCGUUGUCCGGAAUUACUGGGCGUAAAGAGCUCGUAGGUGGUUUGUCGCGUCGUCUGUGAAAUCCCGGGGCUUAACUUCGGGCGUGCAGGCGAUACGGGCAUAACUAGAGUGCUGUAGGGGAGACUGGAAUUCCUGGUGUAGCGGUGAAAUGCGCAGAUAUCAGGAGGAACACCGAUGGCGAAGGCAGGUCUCUGGGCAGUUACUGACGCUGAGGAGCGAAAGGCAUGGGUAGCGAACAGGAUUAGAUACCCUGGUAGUCCAUGCCGUAAACGGUGGGCGCUAGGUGUGGGGGUUUUAUUUACGAUUCCCGUGCCGUAGCUAACGCAUUAAGCGCCCCGCCUGGGGAGUACGCCGCAAGGCUA
rnacentral:rRNA from 1 species